UUCAGACAUUAGCAGGUCUGUUAGUUUUGUGCAUUAGAUACAAACUCUCGAUGACUGUUCGUCUCUUGAUUUUAGACUUCCAAAGAGAUGCCAUGUCAGGCUGCUGAUGUGGACAAAUGCAGUUCCUUUGCAGUCAUUCCAAAGGUAAUUUUGAACUUCAAUGACUUUACUGUAGAUAUGAACUCAUGAGAAUGAUAUUAAGUAGUAGUAUUGAGACGCACGGUCCUGUGUAACCCUCACCAUGUAAGGUUCAGACAUUAGCAGGUCUGUUAGUUUUGUGCAUUAGAUACAAACUCUCGAUGACUGUUCGUCUCUUGAUUUUAGACUUCCAAAGAGAUGCCGUGUCAGGCUGCUGAUGUGGACAAAUGCAGUUCCUUUGCAGUCAUUCCAAAGGACUGUGUUCAUGAUCUUGUCCCUGAAGAAAUGUCAAGUUUAGAAAAAUGUGUCACAUGUGGAGGACCCUUUUCACCUCUGAAAUGGUCAGGGGUGAGGUGUAAAGGUAUUUUUUUUGAGAAUGGAAGGGGGGGGAUCCAUCCAUAUCUUUUGAACAUGAUGCCACAGGAACACUUUUUAAAAACUGCUUCAUGUGUAACUCUGCUAUAUGUUCACGAUGAGCCAUUUGCAGCUGCACUCACUUUUUAAGUACUUACCAUGACAUUAUGAACUUAUGAACA
ensembl:lncRNA